GAUAUAGCUCAGUGGUAGAGCGCUUGCCUAGCAAGCGUAAGGCCUGGGUUCGGUCCCCAGAUCA
rnacentral:tRNA from 1 species